rnacentral:rRNA from 1 species
CCUACGGGGGGCAGCAGUGAGGAAUAUUGGUCAAUGGACGAGAGUCUGAACCAGCCAAGCAGCGUGAAGGAGGACUGUACUAUGGGUUGUAAACUUCUUUUAUAAAGGAAUAAAACGUGGCACGUGUGCCCUUUUGCGUGUACUUUAUGAAUAAGCAUCGGCUAACUCCGUGCCAGCAGCCGCGGUAAUACGGAGGGUCCGGGCGUUAUCCGGAUUUAUUGGGUUUAAAGGGAGCGUAGAUGGGUCGUUAAGUCAGUUGUGAAAUUUUGCGGCUCAACCGUAAAAUUGAAAUUGAUACUGGGAGUCUUGAGUACAGUUGAGGUAGGCGGAAUUCGUGGUGUAGCGGUGAAAUGCUUAGAUAUCACGAAGAACCCCGAUUGCGAAGGCAGCUUACUAAACUGUGACUGACAUUGAUGCUCGAAGGUGUGGGUAUCAAACAGGAUUAGAUACCCGAGUAGUC